rnacentral:rRNA from 1 species
UGAGGAAUAUUGGACAAUGGAUGGAAAUCUGAUCCAGCCAUGCCGCGUGCAGGAAGACGGCCCUAUGGGUUGUAAACUGCUUUUGUAUGGGAGCAAUAAGGUCUAUGCGUAGACUGAUGAGAGUACCAUACGAAUAAGCAUCGGCUAACUCCGUGCCAGCAGCCGCGGUAAUACGGGGGAUGCAAGCGUUAUCCGGAUUUAUUGGGUUUAAAGGGUGCGUAGGCGGUUUGAUAAGUCAGCGGUGAAAUAUUUCAGCUUAACUGAAAGGGUGCCGUUGAUACUGUCAGGCUUGAAUAUGGUUGCUGUGGGUGGAAUGUGUGGUGUAGCGGUGAAAUGCUUAGAUAUCACACAGAAUAUCGAUUGCGAAGGCAGCUCACUAAACUGUAACUGACGCUGAGGCACGAAAGCGUGGGGAGCAAACA